GAGUGAAACGUUGUCCCGUAAAAACUAAUUCUAAAAGAUGUCUUUUCUUCGUUAUAGAUUGUUACUGUUUGAUGCCUCCAUUACCUAGUAGCUAAACGUUAUACUAGCAAGUUUUGCACAUGUUUAUAAUGGUACCAUUACAACUGUAUAAAACAAGAGCCGUACGUGACCCUUACUAACCUCAAGUGACCUUAAAAUAAACCCUUUCUCCAAGCCUGCAGACGUGUGUAAGAAUCCAGCUUCCCACCCCGUCCAUUCCUCAAGAGGCAACGAAGACAAGAGGGCCAGGAUGGGGUGGCUAUAUUGUAAUAUACUGUGGUGGACGAGGUGCUGAACCCACGGAGUGAGUCAAGACCCAUUGUGAUGGGCGAGGUGCGGAGCCCACCGCAAGGGAUUCCCGUUACUCAGGCAACUUUUACACGGGAAGGUCAGGGAAAGGACGAGGUGUUCUUGUUCCCAAGGCGUGGGCACCUGAGCCUUUCCCUGGAACGCUGGACUUCCCUGCGGCUCCUGUGUUUGCCGUCACGUGACUCGAGCAACUGGCCGCCAUGUUGGCGGUCAAAACACGCAGCUUUUCUUCAACAUCGACUGCGGGUGAUAAAUUUACCAAGCCAUAUGCCAUACAGAUGUCAUUAUUGUAUCCACAAACGUAAUUUAAGUAAUUUUUAUUAAGUUAAUACUGUACUAAGUAAUAAUUAAAUUACACUAUAUGCAAUAAUAAUAAUAUUUAUUUUUGUAAGUACAUGUAUAAUGUAUGUUUACAGGCCUAGCUGACAUUAAUGUCAUACUACUAUAUAGAAAGCCCCUGGUUAUGCAGAGGAUUUCGGGUAAAUUAGGUCAAUUUUGUCCCCAAAAUGCAACCUAUACUGAUGUAAAAUGUCAUUAUUAUUUAGUACAGCAGUAACUAAGCCUACAUAUUUAAAACUACAAUCAGUUUAAUUGUAUCUGACUGCCUAUCCUCAUAACGAGGCCACAUAUUUGCAUAAAAUACUGAGAACGGAAUAAAAGUUAAACUUUUGUGGUUGGGUUGGUGCUGCUUAAGUAUCAUGUAUGCCAAUACAUGAUACUUCAGCAGCACCAACCCAACAACACAGGAGUCACAUGAUUUCAUCGUCUACCCGUCCUCAUCAUAGGUAGAGGUUGUUUUGAUAAGGACCUGCCUCGCAUGGGCCAGUAUGCCUUCUACAGUGUUCCUCCAUUCUUAUGUUCUUAUGACAUUCCUCAGGUCACGUGCGUCACAUCUCACUCUCCGCCUAUAUAUAUAAUGUCUUUCUACCUCUGUAUGUUAGAAGUGAUCAAGGUCCCAGGACCGAAACGUUUUCUAAUAAAUAUGUUAUAGUGUUUGCUUACGUGUCUUUCUAAACCAACUUGUCGGUAUUUAUUACCAAGGUUUAUACCAGACACACAUGUAUAAACCAUACAGGAAAUGACGAACAUUUCCCUGUUAAUGAUAAGAUAACCGAAAUCAUGAGAUUGUAUCCACACUUUACACUGGCUAGAUGAAUUUUUUUGUGAGAUUAUAGCAAGCAUCAGACGAGCCUGGCUAAAGAUCGGGCUCUGGAAGUAGGAAAAAC